UAAACUGUAAUGCAAUUUCAGAUACUCGGAAGAGCACAAUCUGUUAAGCGGGAAUCAAGAACCAGUUUAACCUUUUGAUCAUUCAUCCGGGAGCUUACUGGAGGUAUUUGCAAUGGGCAUCCUCGAGGCUUUACCACAAAUGGACAAGGUGAGGAAGUUUGCUUUUGUACUGAGUCCUAUUCUGCAAGUGAGGUUGAUCACAUUGCUCGUGUCUUUGCAAGUGAUGGAUGUUCAGAGGACAUGGCGUCUUCAACUCUCAUCUGAUUUGACGAGAAACUCCACAACAAUAAAAAAGAUUCUGUGAAACAUCUCUCCACAUA